GCUCCCGUAGUGUAGUCCGGUCAAUCAUCGAGGCCUCUCGAGCCUCAGACUCGGGUUCAAAUCCCGACGGGAGCACCA
rnacentral:tRNA from 1 species